rnacentral:rRNA from 1 species
UGGGGAAUCUUCCGCAAUGGGCGAAAGCCUGACGGAGCAAUGCCGCGUGAGUGAAGAAGGGAUUCGUCCCGUAAAGCUCUGUUGUUCAUGACGAACGGCCGAUUUGUGAAUAAUGGAUCGGAGUGACGGUAGUGGACGAGGAAGCCACGGCUAACUACGUGCCAGCAGCCGCGGUAAUACGUAGGUGGCGAGCGUUGUCCGGAAUUAUUGGGCGUAAAGAGCAUGUAGGCGGUCUUUUAAGUCUGGGGUGAAAAUGCGGGGCUCAACCCCGUAUGGCAACAGAUACUGGAGGACUUGAGUACAGGAGAGGAAAGGGGAAUUCCCAGUGUAGCGGUGAAAUGCGUAGAUAUUGGGAGGAACACCAGUGGCGAAGGCGCCUUUCUGGACUGUGUCUGACGCUGAGAUGCGAAAGCCAGGGUAGCGAACGGG